GAUGAACGCUGACGGAAUGCUUAACACAUGCAAGUCAACUUGAACUUCGGUUUGGGUGGCGGACGGGUGAGUAACGCGUAAAGAACUUGCCUCACAGAUAGGGACAACAUUUGGAAACGAAUGCUAAUACCUGAUAUUAUGAUUAUAUGGCAUCGUAUAAUUAUGAAAGCUAUAUGCGCUGUGAGAGAGCUUUGCGUCCCAUUAGCUAGUUGGAGGGGUAACGGCUCACCAAGGCGAUGAUGGGUAGCCGGCCUGAGAGGGUGAUCGGCCACAAGGGGACUGAGACACGGCCCUUACUCCUACGGGAGGCAGCAGUGGGGAAUAUUGGACAAUGGACCAAGAGUCUGAUCAAGCAAUUCUGUGUGCACGAUGAAGUUUUUCGGAAUGUAAAGUGCUUUCAGUUGGGAAGAAAAAAAUGACGGUACCAACAGAAGAAGUGACGGCUAAAUACGUG
rnacentral:rRNA from 1 species